ACAACAUUCGGACCGUCGGUCUACCAAGCAAUACUACUACCAAGCUCGGUGGAAGAUCUUCCUUUUGUCAU
rnacentral:pre_miRNA from 1 species